rnacentral:lncRNA from 1 species
AAACCGAUGAGAGGGAGGAAGGAACAGCGGGGCAAGCAAUGGCAACACAGAGCCAGUCACAGCCUGUGGACUAAAAGCCUCAGAGAGGAGGGACACUGCAGCUCAGGAACAGUCUCCUCAGGAGGAAUUGAGCACCGACGAUCCACAGUGAGAAGGGACAGCAUUUAAUGGAACUAUGGUCUCUGCACAAAACCAAAUCAGAAACCAGUUCCCACACACUUGCCUCUUGUUAGAACAUCCUCCUCACUGGCUGAAGAGAAACUAAGAGAACUCCUGGAAGAGCUGGCUCAGAGAUUUAAAUAGGCCAGGCCAGACCAGACGCACGGCCAGAAUCGCCUUAGAGAAGACAAGACGGUGUGGACUAGGGGCCAGUGAGCAGACUCGAAAGAUGCCACUGUAGCAAUAAGGAACCUCCAUGGGAUGGGAACUUUUACCUUAAAAUAAAUAUGACUGGGGCUGGGAACAAGCUAACCUUCAUCUUCUGCAGCACAAUCUUUUCCUGUGUAGAUCUUAUUUGAGAAUGUGGUUUUCUUAAAAAUUCUACG